rnacentral:tRNA from 1 species
GGGCCCGUAGCUCAGCCAGGUAGAGCGGCGGGCUUUUAAGACCCGUAGGUCCCGGGUUCAAAUCCCGGCGGGC